rnacentral:lncRNA from 1 species
GUGGAGGAAAUCACUAGGAAGCUCAGUGAGCAGAGUCAAGAUUGUUGGCUGGUUAAUCCAUGGGGCUAUUGUAUUCAGCUGGAUGAUUACGGCAGCUAAGGUGAGGAUGGAGAUUGUGCACAGGUGCUAACGUCUUCAAGGAGGACUUGGAGGUUGAAGCAGCAAGAGUGGUGAAGCUGCAUGAUAUGAAUCUCAAAGUUCCAGAAAAGGAUUUGGAUGGAGCUGUUGGAAACCAGGAGGAUACUAAUCCAACUUCUUAGCCCACUGCUUAAGUACUGGAGGCGUGAGAGGGAAAACAAACAAAAAAGCACCUUGCCUGAGUAGGAUAAAGGAGAAAUCAUGUUUACUGGGAACAUCGAGGUUUCAGUUCUGAUUAUUGUGCUUCAAGCAAUCUCUUCUUCUCAAGUUACUCCCACCACAUGGCCUAGUCAACUGCUACUGAGCUGGGAACCAGAAGACCCUAGCAAGCAUCUGUCUAAGCUGUCAGUUUACUGAAUGAAACAUUUCAUCAUUCUGGCUAUAUCCAAAAUCAAACUGGUGGCAAAUGAAAUUGUUUCACAGUGGCGCCUGCUUCUUAGAAAGGGCAGCACAGACAAGACAACGUAGCAUCUCCAGAAGUUGAAAGAAAAAGAAACUUAAGCCCGCCAUGUGAGUCCUUCUAGUUGCGGCAUGUGGGAUGAUGCUUCAGCAUGGCCUGAUGGGUGGUGCCAUGUCCGUGUCCAGGAUUCAAACUGGCGAGACCCUGGGCCACCGAAGCAGAGCGUGCGAACUUAACCACUCAGCCAUGGGGCCGGCCCCCCAAGGUCAUUCUUGUCACUAUACACAAGACCUCCUCAUCCUAAGAAAGUGAAGUGGUGUUAGAGAGUGUUUGAAAAUCUCAAUUAUGAAUUAAAAACU